rnacentral:lncRNA from 1 species
GUGGUUUUGUUGGAUUAGUCUCCUGAUGGGUCAGUAACCUGGUCUGACUCACUAGGUGAUCACUAGCUUCAGUGCAAGGCAAGUGGCAGAAAUGAGCUCUCGGGAGAAGAAAGUGGGAGAGAGUUGGGCUUCCUCUUUGGCUACCAGAUGUGAAUAGACCAGGUUAAGCAGAAUGUGAGAUUGCCUUGUGACUGCUGUAGUGGGCUCUGAGAAUUACAGUAAAAUGAUGUGUUGUCUCACUCUUUAGGAAGACGAGUAUAUUUUUUUCCCAUCUCCUAAUAGAAUUUCAUUUUGAAAUGCAUGAACAAGAUGAUUUUGUGUAGUGAAAGCAGAAGAACAAAAAACCCUCAUGGCUCAAUUGCAACUUUUCUGAGGAAUCCCUUUAUCUCUUUAGUAGGAGGAGGAGAAGUCCAUCGCCCCCACCAGCGAGGCGGCGACGCUCUCCUUCGCCUGCCCCUCCUCCCAGGCGGCGGCGGUCACCUUCCUUACCUCGGCGAAGGUCUCCAUCACCACCCCCACGCAGACGCUCACCUUCUCCACGGAGAUACUCUCCGCCGAUACAGAGACGAUAUUCUCCUUCUCCACCACCGAAGAGAAGAACGGCUUCUCCUCCUCCGCCACCUAAACGAAGGGCGUCACCUUCACCGCAGUCGAAACGCAGAGUCUCCCAUUCACCACCGCCAAAACAAAGGAGCUCACCGACCGCUAAAAGGCGUUCGCCUUCGAUAUCCUCCAAGCACCGGAAGGGAUCUCCUCCCAGUAGGUCCAAUCGGGAAACACGUUCACCACCACAAAACAAAAGGCAUUCACCUUCACCACGGCCUAGAGCUUCUCAUACCUCUGCAAGCCCACCACCACCACGAAGGGGAGCUUCAGCUUCACCCCAGCGAAGACAGUCUCCAUCUCCAAGCACUAGACCUAUCAGGAGGGUGUCAAGAACGCCAGAACCUAAGAAGACAAAGGCUUCCACACCAAGCCCACGAUCUGCGAGACGGGUGUCGUCGUCACGGUCUGCAUCAGGAUCACCCGAGCCAGCACCGAAAAAACACCAAGGACCUCCAUCUCCCACCCGGUCUCGUUCUCCUUCUGCAAACUGGUCACCUGCAAAAAAGGCUAAAAGCCCAACUCAGAGCCCAUCACCUGCAAGGGUAUUUGUUUGCUAAUAAAAACAGUGCUACUUUGCGUUAGAUGACAAGUUAUUUUCAUUAAGUCUUAGCUGCUGAAAAGCUCUAAGCUUAUUCACAUGGAAAGAAAAUCUUUGGAGUGAUUUUUCACAGUUAAAAACUUUAUAACAAAUUUUUCAAACUUAACAUCUCUGAGUCUGAAAAAAAGUGCUAUUAUAUAUAAAUUUUAGCUUCUGGAAGAAAAGACUUUCCCAGUUCAUGAGUCUACACAAGUGUCACGGUCUACAAAGUGAGGUGAUCUUAUUUAUGCUUAGUAGUCUCACAUGCAAACUCAGGCUGUUCCUAAUAG